rnacentral:lncRNA from 1 species
GCCUCAGCCUCCCAAUGUGCUGGGAUUACAGGUGUGAGUCACAACUCCCGGCCCAUCCAUGGUAUUUUUUAGUUGGAGCUGGACUCUGUGUGCCUGAGCUGAUCCCCCUGAAAUGCUCUCCUCCUCUUGCAGACUCGUGGUCUGAGCUUAGUCCUGCUGUGAGGACACCAUCCAGUGGCAGAAGGCACUAGCCGGUUGCUGUGGUAUGUGAAAGUGGCUCAACUCCAAGGUAGAAUACCAUAAAGCUAUUUCUAGAAGGAUUCAGGACUUGUGAUGGACUUCAGUCAUUUGUCAUAUGUCAAAAUUAAAGAAGAAAAUAUCAGUGACCACUUCACAGAGGGAGACAUCUUCUCUCCUAUUUCUUGGAGCUGUCCCGACAGGAAUCUUCAUGUGGAUGGCCCUGGCCAGCUACAGCUCCUCGGUUUGCACCGCACACUGAUGUUGGACUAGAAGGAGAUGUCCACCUUUCUCCAAGUGAGGCUUCUCUUCCAGUCUGAUUUCCCAGUGACAAGGGUGGUAAUGGGAAUAGCGAGAGUUCCUGCCGUUUGGGAAAAGAGUUUCUCAGGCAUUUAUGUCUAAGUUUUAAGAUAGCCAGUCAUCGUGGCUAGGCUUUAUAAUUUUCUUGGCUGGCAUUAUGAUGUGCUAAAAUUGGACAACUUUGGUUUCACCUUCAGCUUGCUGAGGUUUCCAGAGCAGAGCUGAAAUUGCUGCGCACACUUAGAAUUCAAAUUUGGAAAGACAGAAAAAGUCUUCACUUUCAUCAUAGUCAAUAUUUCAAGACUCAUUAGGGAAAAUCUUGAAAUUUAGAGAUUUUUCUUUUCCAGAAGGAGAGUGCCUCAACUUUUCAGAAUUUUUAAAUACAGUUUUUAGUAGCUCACCCAGGGCAAAGUCCUAUGUUCUGUAUACAGGCUAGGUGAGUCAUGACGAAGCCUGGCUGUUUAGGUCAACCCAUCUCUAAUAAGGCAAGAGCUGGAGGCAAACAUCCCACAGUUCAGAAAUGCGGAUAUAUACUGCUAUGGUUUGAAUUUACGUGUCUCUCCCAAAAUCCUAUGUUGGAACUUAAACCCGAAUGUGAUAGUAGUAAGAGGUGAGGCCUCUAGGAGGUGAUUAAGUCAUCAGGGCAAAACUCUCAUGAAUGGGAUUAGAGACCUUAUAAAAGGACUUCAGGGAACCAGUUAGGCCCUUUUUGCCCUACCAUCUUCGUGAGGACAUGGUGUUCAACUCCUCUGGAGAACACAGCAAAGGCGCCAUCUUGGAAACAGAGACCAGGCUCUCAGCAUACAUCAAACCUGCUGUUGCCUUGAUCUUGGACUCCCAGCCACCAGAACUCUGAGAAAUAAGUUUUUAUUAUUU